rnacentral:rRNA from 1 species
UUGGGAGCUCUCCCAUAUGGUCGACCUGCAGGCGGCCGCGAAUUCACUAGUGAUUCGUAUUACCGCGGCUGCUGGCACGUAGUUAGCCGGUGCUUAUUCUUCAGGUACCGUCAUUAGCCCAAGAUAUUAGCUCGAGCCGUUUCUUCCCUGACAAAAGAGCUUUACAACCCGAAGGCCUUCAUCGCACACGCGGGAUGGCUGGAUCAGGGUUGCCCCCAUUGUCCAAAAUUCCCCACUGCUGCCUCCCGUAGGAGUCUGGGCCGUGUCUCAGUCCCAGUGUGGCUGGUCGUCCUCUCAAACCAGCUACGGAUCGUCGCCUUGGUGAGCCGUUACCCCACCAACUAGCUAAUCCGAUAUCGGCCGCUCCAAUAGUGCGAGGUCCUAAGAUCCCCCGCUUUCCCCCUUAGGGCGUAUGCGGUAUUAGCCACGCUUUCGCGUAGUUAUCCCCCGCUACUGGGCACGUUCCGAUACUUUACUCACCCGUUCGCCACUCGCCGCCAGACCGAAGUCCGCGCUGCCGUUCGACUUGCAUGUGUAAGGCAUCCCGCCAGCGUUCAAUCUGAGCCAGGAUCAAACUCUAAUCGAAUUCCCGCGGCCGCCAUGGCGCCCGGGAGCAUGGGACGUCG